CAACCCUCAAGCACUGCUUGGUGUUGGGCCUCGCCGGUUUUGGCGGGCCUUAAAAUCAGUGGCGGUGCCGUCUAGGCUCUGAGCGUAGUAAAUAUCCUCGCUACGGAGACCAGGCGGUUCUUGUCAUUAACCCCCAACUUCUUAA
rnacentral:misc_RNA from 1 species